CGACAACUAAGUCAAAACCGUUGCAAUGUCUUAUUUUUUGGAAUUUUGUGACACUGUAUACGACGGUUUGAUUAACCGUCGCAGCUUUUGGAUUUAAAACCGUGAACCAUGUUUUAAUUUAGCCCCAUACACUUCUACUCACAGGUCAUACUCAAAUCCUUCUUCACUUUUUUUUUUUGUUCAAACCCUUCUUCACUUUUUGUUCUAAAAAAACCCUAAAAUCCCUAAAUCAUUCUCCAAAUCUCUCCUGCGACAAAUCCACUCCCCAAAUCAUGUUGCCCAUCAUCGUUCCAAUCCCCCCAAUCCCUAAAUCUCCUUCAUGUUUCAAUCAACGAAGCUUCAUCAUUCUGUUUCUGUUCUCUCUCUCUCUCUCUCUCUCUCUCUCUCUCUCUCUCUCUCUCGUUAUGUCUCCGACAACUACGGCAGCUUCCGCCAUCCUUCAGGCAACAACCGUCAGCACAACACACCAUCCGUAGUUUACACGUUCAGGUACACAGUGAAAGAAAAUAGCAUUUCUCGGUUCUAUUAGUUUUGGAAUCUUACGAGUACAAGGAGAUGACACCAAUAUAUGUUAGUGUCAUUAUGAUGCAGUAAUCCUGUUAGCAGUAACAUACUCUAUAAUUCUAGAGAGAUUGAAAGUAUUGAAAUGAAUGUGACACAUAGUCCUGGUAAAAAUGAGGGAACUAUUGUUCUUAAUUUGUAAAUUUGGUGUUUGAGACAAGGUAAGUGCAGGAAUAACUAAAUUUCUUUUUUCUUUUCUUUGAUGAACUACGUACUAUGCUUCUUUUAAAAUUUAGUUUAUGUUCGUGUGUCCACUAUCAUUAACUAAAUUAACUUUUAGUGCCUUUUAAGAAUGAGUUGAUUAUUAAAACACUCUUCUUUGUUUCACAUGUGAACUUCUUUUGUCUCUUUCUAUGUGAGUGUUGAUUGGAUAAUUUGGACUGAUUUUCUAGUUUAAGCAUUGGUUGCUAUUAGCUAACAGAACAUGGACUUCAUGUUUCAAGGUUGGUGAUCCUAUUCAUUAGGUCACCGAAAGCUAUUGAAUGGCUUCGGUUUGCUUGAAUCUUUUCCCGAUUUCAUGAUUUCGUGUCUGUUUGAACAUUUCAGAGCAUAGCGGAAGCUACAGUCCAAGUACAUCAGUGAAUCAGAGAGUUGCAGCAGCUUCUGAUGUCAUACUACCUUUCUCAGUUACCAUAUCAGGAUCCCCUCCAAAUACUCGAGGCUGAUAUACAACAAGCUACUGCAAUUCCAAGAGCCAGAGGAUGGACUCUUAUUAAAAUGAAAUUGGUUUGCAAUCAAUUGGUUCCUCUUUUUUUAUUAUUUCUGCAAUGGAUGGAUUGUUCAUAUAUUUAUAUACAAGGUAACUGAGUUAGAAGAGUCAAAAGAUGGCAGGUGUUCAGAGCCUAGUUAGCACUAAUUAAAGAUCAUGAAGCAACAUCACGUACUAGGAGUAUUGAGAUAUUUUGUGAACUUAUUUUGACUUAAUGUUUUGUAUAUUUUGCCACUCUGCUAAUGGUUAAGUUUUAGUUUUUUGAAUGAUUGAACUACAUUAGAUUUUUCUUUUUCUUUUGGAGUUUCAUGUAUUUUAAUUAAAAUUUUUAUGUAUGAAUGUUGUCAGUAUUGAAUUGAAUGUAUUAUAUAAAUAAGAUUAAGUUAUUUA